AGCGGAGGAAAAGAAACUAACAAGGAUUCCCCUAGUAACGGCGAGCGAAGCGGGAAGAGCUCAAAUUUGAAAGCUGGCGUCUUCGGCGUCCGCGUUGUAAUCUCGAGACGUGUUUUCCGUGCGGCUCUAUGGACAAGUCCCUUGGAACAGGGCAUCGUAGAGGGUGAAAAUCCCGUACUUGCCAUGGAAGUACCGUGCUUUGUGAUACACGUUCCAAGAGUCGAGUAGUUUGGGAUUGCUGCUCAAAGUGGGUGGUAGACUCCAUCUAAAGCUAAAUAUCGGGGAGAGACCGAUAGCGAACAAGUACCGUGAGGGAAAGAUGAAAAGCACUUUGGAAAGAGAGUUAAAAGUACGUGAAAUUGUCGAAAGGGAAGCACUUGAAGUCAGCCAUGCUGCUUGAGACUCAGCCUGGCUUUUGCUUGGUGUAUUUCUCGGUAGCAAGCCAGCAUUGGUUUGUGUCGUCGGAGAAGCGUAUGGGGAAUGUGGCAUCCUCGGAUGUGUUAUAGCCCUGUGCUGGAUACGACGACGCAGACCAAGGAACGCAGUGUGCCCUCUGGGCGGGUCUUCGGACACCUUCACACUUA
rnacentral:rRNA from 1 species